CUCGUCGACCGGCAGAUUUCCCCACCUGGAAGUACACCGGAAUGUCAUUGGAAGCCGAAUUUUGGAGGGGACAAAAAUUCGGAUCAUUUCGGCGCAUUCGAGGGGCCCUCAGUCCCACAAAAAUCGAGAUAACGCGUUCCAAGAAGCGGCAUUCUUCGAGGCAGACCGAGAGCGUUCCAAAACUCCCGUUAUCGACCUCAGCCACUCCGCCCGGACCGGAGCUACAGCGCCUCGCCAGAGCCAGCGCAUGGGAGCUUUACCUGUCCUUCGGAUCGUCAGGUACGCCACAGUGCUCGAUGAGAAAUUCGACGCAGUCCAGAUGGCCUUCGCUCGCUGCCAAGUGCAGAGCUGUACGUCCAUCGUAAUCCGAUAACGUCAUGUCCAUACCGCUCAAUCGAUGCCUGCAUCAAGCAUCCAAACGAAUAUAAAUUCACAACUGAAUAAACCAGUGGGAAAAAAAAUAGGAAAAAGUCAAAAAUGAAAGUAAAA